UUCAUUUUGUACAUUUCUAGGACAAGUAUUCCCGGACGGAGGGAGUAGAUAAUAAUUCUAAGUAGAACUCUGCAAAAGUCGAGGUAAUGAAGCUAGCUCCUUGUUUCUGAAGAUAAUAUGUGACAUGAUUAAUCUUCAAUGAUAAUUUUGAAUGUAAGCCAUACCAAGUAAAGCAGUCAAAAUCACCUAGGGGGUGGACUAGUGCUCAUAUGUUGGUUCUAUUCCUAGAUAAUUAUAGCUUACAAGGUAACAGUCACAGCUUACAAGCUGUGGUGAUCUGGAGCUUUUAUAAGCACCGUACUCUACUUGUACAUUUCUCAGAUCAUUGUUCAAAUAAGCAACGAAACCUGGGGCAUACUCAUGUACAAGUACAAUGCAUGGUUUCCACGUUUUUACCUAGACUGGAGUUAUAACCACAGUAUAACUUACGGAUCAACAUUACUAUAUGAGUUUCAGAGAGCAAUCGGCCCUCCCUUGUAUUGAGCAACGAUGGGUAACCUUUUUCUCUUGAGCAGCAGCAAGUCGUUAUUCUGGGUGCAUGUUAUGGAAUGGUUAAGUGGAGAGAUUAUUUUGGAUCUUUGAUGAGAAGUGUUUCGAUACAAAUAACACAUACAAAAAGGAUUCAUUUGAAAGAAAGUAAUUGCAGUACUUUGAAGGUUAUUACUUAGUNNNNNNNNNNNNNNNNNNNNNNNNNNUGCAGGACUAGUUAACAUUCUGCCUGCCAACACCAGACUUUCUAAGCCUUCAUCUGCCUAAGUUUGUCAUGUGUGCUCCUGCCAAAAAACUUCACUGGGCCCUCUACCAGAAACGAAACAAAACAAAAGGUUCUUACCCAGAUGUAUCCCGUAUACUUGUUCAUCAAAUACAUGAAGUAUGGAGAAGCAUUCCCUGCCAAGGAAUAUUGCCAGUAAACCUGCACAAUGCAAGCGGUUGUGAAUCCCGUCUUGGGAAUUUCUUGUCAUCAGGCACCAACAUCAUCUCAGAAAAAGACAUUCCGAAAACACAUGAUAUAAAUGCCCUUCUCUUGAAAACUUUCAACCGCUAUACUAGUAUCACAAGAAAAAGAUGGUAACUGCGCAGUAACUUUUUGGUCAAGGGAGGAGGUCUGGGUCUGGCUCAGCUCAGUGAGUAACUUUUUUUCCCUUGGUUGUUUCUUUAGUGCCGAGAUUUCUUCCCAAGCUGCUUCUCGAUCGGUGUGAUUGAAAAUGCAAUGACAUGUAUAGUCAUGAUGAGUGCCACUGUUUGCUUUACCGACCUAUAGCUCUUGGUAGGGCAGUCUUAACACUUGUGGUGCUUCUGAGGGCAUCGUCUGGCGUAGUGGCCUUCUUCCUUGCACCUGAAGCAUGUAACCACUCCUGUUGGUGUGUUGUGUGCUGUAACCAAAGGACUAGACUUGUACAUUGUCAAUGAUUGAUAUCUCAAGGGACACCUCUUGCGCCUGUGCCCUUCCUCACCACACCUUAUACAUCGGACCUUCGAUUUAGGCUUCUUUUCUGAUGAUUGUUUAGCAGUAGCAGUACCAGUACCAGGGUCCUGUUCUUCUAAUUCUUUGGACAGGUUGGAGGAUGUAGCUAUAGUGCUGUUCUCUUCAAAAAUUUCAAACUGGACGGGGCUGUUCUGAGGACAUUGAAAGGCAGAGUGACCUUCUUCACGGCAUGUAAAGCAAAUUGGACUAGACUUGUUGGCGGUCAGUACUUCUCCUUCUGAUCUUGCGGAACACUUGGCAGGUNNNNNNNNNNNNNNNNNNNNNNNNNNNNNNNNNNNNNNNNNNNNNNNNNNNNNNUGCCUUGUUUCGAUAGUGCAAGCCGCAGAGCAGCUUGGAAGUUCUCUCUCUGACCCUGAAAUGCCUCAGUCAAUAUUGAAUUCCAGGGGCACCGAGCAAGAUAAUGAUCCUGAGAUUCACAAAGAAAGCAUUUAACUUGGCUCAAUCGGCACUCUCCAUACUCGUCGCAGCUGGAGCAACCGAGACCAUGUGUAUUGGUACUAUGCCCUAUCUCUCCACAGCGGGUGCAAGCGCGAAUCUCCGACUUGUUCUGCUGGCAACACCACAUGCUACAGUGGCCAUUUUUGCUACAGACUGUGCAAACGAUUUUGUGCUCUUGGUCCUUGAAACAGCAGUUGCAACUNNNNNNNUUGAAACAGCAGUUGCAACUGUAAUGUCCUUCCUUGCCACAGACCAAACAAGUGAUUACCCCGUUCUUUUUGUCCUGAAUGUACCUACUUUCUACGUCUUGUUGGUAUGGGUUGGUCGUCAGAAAGAAUCGAUCUCCUGAAACAUGGAAAUCUUUUCCCCUCCCUAGCGAGGGGGUGUGUGAACCGCCAUUCCGCGUAGUCCUCUGUUGCGGGUGGUGGCCUUGGUAUCCAGAGGCAUGCCAUGCGAUGUGCUUGGCUGCACGUUCAUCUUGGUUCAUCCGCUUCCUUUUUGACCCGAUUUCCUGACUCUUGGCAGAUGAUCCCAUCUCGAUUAAUUGUUUCUGAACAGGGGUAACAGAUAAGAGGGGAGAACAUGAGACCAGGAAGCAAAUGCAGUUUGACGCUGCUGUCUAGAUGAGACAGAAUAUAGCCCAAACAGCUAAACAGCAUCCACUGACGUGCAUGCCUACAAACAAUACCUCAACGAUAUAAUACUACUUGUGUUUGAGCAGAAGCGCUGAUAUCCUCCUACCGCCGAUGCGAAAACUCUAACAUGUCAAGGGAGAUUGUAACAGCAUAACUCUGUGAAGAAGUACAAAGCUCUCUCCUUUGUAAAGGAUGAAAGAAAGAAAAGAAUAAACAGGGGAAUUGCUUCUUCAGAAGCAGCCAAUUUUGCUUGUUUUGUUCUGGUGGAAGCUACUGGAAAUUGCUUAAUGAGCAGCGUGAGAUGCAUACAAGAGGGGAAAACAAGUGACGGAUGAAGGAAUAGGAUUCAGGACCUAAUCACGAGCCAGAAGAAGAGGGCUCAGCUCUGCUCUUCAGGCUUGGAAUUCAAUCGCUGUUUCAACCAAACGCAUGCAUUCAACCUCUGCCUGAUAAUUAGAUGCAGGCGAGAAAAUCGAUCUAAAUGGAAGGGGAAUGGAUCAAGAAAAGACGAGGGAGAUGCACUGGGAGAUGGGGAGCGUAAGGCUACUACCUGAGGGCAGGGAAGUGGAUAGCGGGGAGCAGGAGAAGGGAGCCCCGGCGGCGACGGCGGCGCUGACGACGGUGGUGAAUUGGUGGCGGCGGGGUCAACAGCCGGCCUCCUCUGCUGUUUUGGGUGGGUGUUUCUUUUCUUGGGAAUUGAAGCAAGCAGAAGCAGGCAGAGGGGAAUUCAAGCAGAUUCAUUGCGAUAAGAGCAACUCC
rnacentral:lncRNA from 1 species